GGAGAGGGCCUGUAGGUCAAAGCUAGAGCAUCUGCUUAGCAUGCAUAAGGUCCUGGGUUCAAUCCCCUGCAUCUCCA
rnacentral:tRNA from 1 species